rnacentral:tmRNA from 1 species
GGGGUUGUACUGGUUUCGACGGGGAUUUUGAAACUCUGGCAGCUAUCCGUGGACUAGGACCACGUUAAAACUUAGACUUAAAUAUAAACGCUGAAGACAAUUUAGCUUACGCUGCCUAGUUGCAGCUGUCAACCCUAGGUUUCCUACGGCUUAGGACUUGGCAUCAAACUAGUAGGGCACCUUAUCUACAAAGCUUUGCGUAGGUAAGAGAAAUAUGAAGCUACUAAAGCUUGCAGGAUGUCAGUUUCCGGCAAGUGGAGGGAAUGUCAAAUGACUGACUGUGAUAGGAGAUACCAGUGUGGAAGGGUUUUCGGACGCGGGUUCAACUCCCGCCAGCUCCACUU